rnacentral:lncRNA from 1 species
GCCAGAUAAGGGAAGCAGGCCUCCGAAGCCAGCAGUGGCAACCCACUUGGGUCCCUUUCAAUGCUGUGGAAGCGUUGUUCUUUCACUCUUCUCAAUAAAUCUUGCUGCUGCUCACUCUUUGGGUCUGCCCCGCUGUUAUGAGCUGUAACACUCACAGCCAGUGUCUGCAGUUUCACUCCUGAAGCCAGCAAGACCACAAACCCACAGGGCGGGACAAACAACUCCGGACAGGAGGAAUGAACAACUCUGGACGCGCCACUUCUAUGAACUUUUAUGAACUGUAACACUCACCGCAAAGGUCUGCAGCUUCACCCCUGAGGCCAGGGAGACCACGAACCCACCGGAAGGAAUGAACAACUCCAGACGCACUGCCUUUAAGAGCUGUAACACUUACCACGGAUGUCUGCAGCUUCACUCCUGAAGUCAGCGAGACCACAAACCCAACAGAAGGAAGAAACUCCCGACACAUCUGAACAUCUGAAGGAACAAACUCUGGACACACCAUCUUUAAGAACUGUAACACUCACCGUGAGGGUCAACCGCUUCAUUCUUGAAGUCAGCCAGACCAAGAACCCACCAAUUCCGGCUCAUAGGCAGAAGGGACUUUCCUUGUCUCAGAUGAGAAUUUGGACUGUGGACUUCUGCUGAAAGUCAUUUAAUGCUGAAAUGAAUGCCAGAUGCCUCUAGUGAGCCACCUUGAAUCACUAUUCUGAAUACAUCUUGAGUAAAAAGAGAAAAUUGCUCAUGUUUCCAUGUCUAUCUGAAUCAUGUUAUUGGACCAUGAGAGCAAGCAGCUGGAUCUCAUUCUGUCCAGGGUUUCAUCAUUUUUGGCCAUGCUGGCCUUGAACGCCUAACCUCAAAUGAUCCACCUGCCUUGGCCUCCUGAAGUUCUGGGAGUUAUAGGCAUGAGUCACCAUGCCUGGCACCACAUAAAAUUAUUUUGUCAUUAACAUUACAUUUUAAAAUACAAACGCUGUUUUCCAUAUUACUCAGGUCAGAUCUUUUACCCCACUUCUCUCAGUGAGAUUGCAUUAUUUAUUUCCAUCUCUAUAAUCUACUGUUCAUCCAUCUAUCUAUCCAUCCCUCAAUUUAGUUUUUUCACUACAUUCUGCAUUUGAUUCUUUUGAGGGUGUAUGCUUGUGUUUGUGCGUGGAAGUGGGGGUGUGUGUGUGUGUGUGUGUUCAAAAAGGUCUACAGUUUCCUUUUUCUGUAAUAUCUGUGUCUGCUGUUGGUAUUAGGGUAAUGCUGAACUCAUAGAGUAUGUGAAAAGUUUUCUACAUUCUUUGAUUUUUCUGAAAGAAAUUGUGCAGAAUUCAUAUUAUUUCUUUCUUAAAUGCUCAAGUGUUUAUUAAAAUUUACCAGUAAAA